ACCAGACCUACAGACCAGUAACCACCUCAACCACACCUACACACUGGUAACCACCUCAACCACACCUACAGACUAGUAACCACCUCAACCAGACCUACAGACUAGUAACCACACCUACACACUGGUAACCACCUCAACCAGACCUACGGACCAGUAACCACCUCAACCACACCUACACACUGGUAACCACCUCAACCAGACCUACAGACCAGUAACCACCUCAACCAAACCUACAGACCAGAAACCACUUCAACCAAUUUCAGACAGUAAUUUGCAGGUCUAACAGGUGAGUCCAGGUCAUGUGACUCUCCAGCUGGUAGGUUGCCGGUGUAACAGGUGAGUCCAGGUCAUGUGACUCUCCAGCUGGUAAUUUGCAGGUGUAACCGGUGAGUCCAGGUCAUGGUUUGCAGGUGUUAGUUCAAAGAAUAAACAAUGAAUAGACAAUAAGAAGAUAAAUUGUUCUUCCUCCUCAGAGUCAAGAAGAACUGCAGAACCCCCAGCCAGCCUCCAACCAGCAGGAACACAGUGAGGCAGCUGAGGUACAGAAACCAGAGAAGAUGAUGGGGGAGAAAGAGUCAGACUCCACCCAGCCCUCUCACAAUUGGCUGACUGAGGCGGAAUCCUGUCUGCUGGAUCUCAGCGACAUCAGCGGUGAUGUCACAUUCACAUCAUCCAGGGGUGUUGCCUAUAGUGGCCCUGCCUUCCGAUGCUCCGCUCCCGACCUGGUGGACGACCUGC